rnacentral:rRNA from 1 species
UGGGGAAUUUUGGACAAUGGGGGCAACCCUGAUCCAGCAAUGCCGCGUGAGUGAAGAAGGCCUUCGGGUUGUAAAGCUCUUUUGUCAGGGAAGAAACGGUAGUAGCGAAUAACUAUUACUAAUGACGGUACCUGAAGAAUAAGCACCGGCUAACUACGUGCCAACAGCCGCGGUAAUACGUAGGGUGCAAGCGUUAAUCGGAAUUACUGGGCGUAAAGCGUGCGCAGGCGGUUGUGUAAGUCAGAUGUGAAAUCCCCGGGCUCAACCUGGGAAUUGCAUUUGAGACUGCACGGCUAGAGUGUGUCAGAGGGGGGUAGAAUUCCACGUGUAGCAGUGAAAUGCGUAGAUAUGUGGAGGAAUACCGAUGGCGAAGGCAGCCCCCUGGGAUAACACUGACGCUCAUGCACGAAAGCGUGGGGAGCAAACAGGAUUAGAUACCCAGGUAGUCCCUGAGCGGGCUGGCAAGGCGCAU